AAUUGUUACCCUCUCUACUAAUUUUAGGAAGUAGAAUCUUAGGUGACUCAUAUCCGGCAACUGCCUGGGUCGUUCUUUCUGUCCCUGGUAGCAGCGCGGAAAUCUUCGCUGCUUUCAAGUAAAGAAAAAAAAAACAAAGUUUUAACAACUGCACACACCUCAUACAUUCUCUUCUGGGACUAAAGCAGUUACAACUGUUCAACAUGAUACGAACCAGGAGUACUAUUCUUGGAUUAAUAAGAAUUGGGACUUACGGAUCUAUGUCUGGUGGUUAUCGUAGCAAUGGCGCCAGCCAUCGUGGAGGAGUAAGCCAAAGAAAUGGGUAUGGUAGUGGCAAUACAAACAAUAGAUUUGGAAGUCGUAACGGAGGUACUGGUGGAAAUAAUGGAGGUCUUGCUAGUCGCGGUCAACGUAAUGCUAAUGUAGCUGGAACUAAUUUGAGAAAACCUAAUUGGGAUUAUGAAAAUUUGAAACCAUUUAAAAAAGAUUUCUAUGUACCGCAUCCAAAUGUACAAUCGCGUCAUCCUCAAGAAGUCGAUUCGUUUAGAGAAGAAAACAAAAUUACUCUUAAAGGAGAGAAAAUACCUAAUCCAAUUCAAUUUUUUGAAGAAGGAAACUUUCCAGAAUACGUUAUGCAAGCUAUUAGAAAGCAAGGUUUUACAGAACCAACAGCCAUUCAAGCUCAAGGCUGGCCAAUUGCUAUGUCUGGACUUAAUAUGGUUGGAAUUGCUCAAACUGGAUCUGGAAAAACUUUAGGAUACAUUUUACCUGCUAUUGUACACAUUAAUAGUCAGCAACCUUUGAAUAGAGGAGACGGUCCUAUUGCUCUCGUCUUAGCUCCAACUCGAGAACUUGCUCAACAAAUACAAAGCGUUGCUAAUGAUUUUGGAUCAUUGUCUUAUGUAAGGAAUACUUGCAUAUUUGGCGGUGCACCAAAAGGCAGCCAAGCACGUGAUCUCGAACGUGGAGUUGAGAUUUGUAUAGCAACACCAGGACGUCUUAUCGAUUUCUUAGAACGUGGCACGACUAAUUUACGUAGGUGUACAUAUCUGGUAUUAGACGAAGCCGAUCGUAUGUUAGAUAUGGGUUUCGAACCACAAAUUAGAAAGAUCAUAGAACAAAUCAGACCAGACAGACAAGUUCUCAUGUGGUCAGCUACUUGGCCGAAAGAAGUAAGGAAUUUAGCUGAGGAAUAUUUAACGGAUUAUACUCAAUUAAAUAUUGGAUCUUUGACUUUGGCGGCUAAUCAUAACAUCUUACAAAUAGUCGAUGUUUGUCAAGAACAUGAAAAAGAAUCAAAAUUGGGAACUCUGUUGCAAGAAAUUGGCAGUGUUAAUGAUGACGGUGGAAAGACUAUCAUCUUUGUAGAAACUAAAAAGAAAGUUGAAAAUAUCACUAGGAAUAUUAGGAGGUACGGUUGGCCUGCAGUGUGCAUGCAUGGUGAUAAGUCGCAACAAGAAAGAGAUUAUGUUUUAAGAGAAUUCAGGAACAAGAAAGGUUCUAUUCUUGUAGCAACGGAUGUUGCUGCACGUGGAUUGGGAAAUAUAGAAAAGGAGAAGAUGGCGAUGUAGCACAGACUGGUUAUAUGAAGUGAUGCCUCACUGUUCAAUGGAUAACGUGAAAUAAUGAUCAUUAUUGAAUAACAAUUAUUAUAUAUUUAUAGGUUAUAUAUUUCAUAGUACUUUCAUUCAAAGACAAUGUAAUCAUAUAUAUUUUGCAUAAAUCUGAGAAUGCUGCUUAUCAACAGUAGGAUCAUAUUUUCAACAACAAAAUAACCAGUAACGUAUAGAGGCACAUGGUGCACUAAAUACGUGAGUGUGCGAUGAAAAACCAUAAAGAGAAAAAAAAUAAUAACAUGGCUCACUCAUAGUACGUGCGCAAUUUGCAUAAAAAAAAAAAAAAAAAAUACUUGUACUUAAUGUGCCUCUGUGUACAGCCUGUGUACCACGGAAGUAUUUAGUGGUGCGCGGGCGUUAUCGUGCUGGUUGGUUGUGAGAUAAAACGCUGGUUUCCAUUUUGGUACAACCAUCACACUUCAUAGCCAAUGCCCAGCCGGUGUCAGAGACAACAAUCUAUUGAUUUUGCUACUAUCGCUACUGUGAUGCUCACGACACAACAGUCCGUGAUCUGAACUUGCAUUCAAGACUACACACCCCCUGGUGGCACUUUGUUUGCAGUCAUACGGAAUGCAAUGUUCAGCAGUAACGGGUUUGUAUUUAUUAUAAUGCAGCAGACUUAAGGAUUAUAAAAUACGCAUUAAAUGCGUAAUUUAUAAGCUAAGCUCAUAAUUUGUAUCCUUUCAUAAUUUAUAAAACA